rnacentral:lncRNA from 1 species
ACAGAGACAGUGGUUUUCUCCAGCGAACAGCUUGCUGCUUUUCGGUUCUUCUAAUCCUCUUAUUCAGUAAGCAAAACAGACGUUUCCGCGAAGCUCGCAACAACCCAGUCGUGCCCCGCGCCAUCCCACGGGUUGGGUCGUGCCGCCUCUCUGAUCGCAAGGAGCACACAGAUCGUGCCCUCAUGCGCUGACGAAGGGAAAAACUAAACCUGACUAGAACGAAAAACUAGGGCAGCUCUCUGAAGGAGUAAACGCUGCUGUAACUACUGACGAAACUGAAACUAAUCUUAUUCUUACGCAGCUGAAAUACCCAACAUUGCAUUGCAUACAUGUAGUAGAGAUCAAUGGAGGCGGUACUAGUAGCUAGCAUGAAGCUGCAGGCAAUAGGAUGUGUUUUUCUUGUGCUAGGCAGAUCCUGAAUGGACAGAGGAGGAGUACACGAUGCUGGAGUCGAUGCCUUGUGAUGCUGACCUGUACUCAUUCCCAAUACCUUGCAAUCCUACAUAUACACACAUAGACAGUAUUUUUUUCCUUUUUUGAGGUAAGUACAUAGCUCUAUUUGAUGUGAGAUUAGUGGUGGAAUCAUUGAGAAACGUGUGUCUGUGCUCCGAGCAUAUAUAGCCCCCGAUGUUCCGCUGGCCAUGAAGUCAAGGAUGGCACCUGCCUGGUUGCUUGCUUGAUGAUUAUAAAUGGUCCAUGUGGAUCUCUACAAUAGUUUAUUGUAACCAAUGAUCCAAACGACAUUCAAGUGUUUGAAAGCUCGCCGUCCUCAAGGCACCAACAACAACAGUAACAUUGAUGAGGCCCGCGUAGUAUGGACAAGUCUUCACUUUAAGGACAUAGAGGGUGCUUGGAUACAUUUUAGUCUCAUGACUAAAAGUAAUGAGACUAAAACUUGCUAGCCUCAUCCAUGCUUGGAUCCAAAUAUUAAAGAGACUAAAAUCAAGUUAAUGAGCAUUUAUUAUCCUCCAAACCCUCCAAUCCAGAACUUGCUUCAGGUGUUAAAUGAGGAGAGAGAGGACUAAUGCACAUUCUAGUAAGGGUACCCCUGACUAAAAGAUUUUAGCCUUAAGACUAGUUUUAGCCUCUCUUUAGUCAGGGGUGAUUGAAACUUUAGCCUCUUAAAGAGACUAGUUUUAGUCCCUUGAAUCCAAGCACCCUCAUACUCCCUCCGUCCGGUAAAAACUGUAUUUUUUCCUUUUCUGUCAGUCAAACUAGUUGAACUUUUACUAACUUUAUUGAGAAAAGUGCUAGCAUUUAUGACAUCAAAUAAGUAUCAAUAG